GAAGCAUAUCUGAAUUCUUAGCUAGAGCUCUCCAGCCACUAGAGCCGCUAUCGGUUCAAAAUGCUGUUUAGUAUCUGAAGAACCAGGGCGCUAGUUGUCAAUUCUUCCUGUGGAGCCCAAACUCAGCAAAAUGCUCAUUCUGGGCGCUAUCUUCAACUGUUUGGAUCCCAUAAUGACUGUUGUUGCUGGUCUUAGUGUAAGGGAUCCAUUUCUGAUGCCGGCUGACAAGAAGGAUUUGUUUUAUAUGCAUGUUUCAUACAGCUUGCAGAGUCUGCUAAGGCCCAGUUUUCUGCUCGUGACUAUAGUGAUCAUCUUGCACUUGUCCGAGCUUAUGAGGGUUGGAAAGAGGCUGAAGCUCAGCAAGCUGGCUACGAGUACUGUUGGCAAAAUUUUCUUUCUUCUCAAACACUUAGGGCCAUUGACUCCCUUCGAAAGCAAUUCUGUUACUUGCUUAAAGAUAUUGGGUUGGUUGAUCACAAUUCUGAGACCUACAGUAGAUGGAGUCAUGAGGAGCAUCUUGUCCGAGCAGUCAUCUGUGCGGGUUUGUUUCCUGGAGUAUCAUCUGUUGUGGAUGGUCACCUAAAAAUGUUGGGAGGUUAUUUGGAAUUUUUCAUGAAACCUGAAUUAGCUAACACUUACUUGCGGUUGAAGGGGGAGCUGGAGGAACUGAUACAGAAAAAACUUCUGAAUCGCAUGACGAGCUUCUUUCAGCUGUUAGAUUGGUGAUAUCUGAGGACCACUGUGAUGGCAGAUUCAUAUUUGGUCGCCGGGCCACACCUGCACCCAAAGUAAAAGAGGCAACAAACUCCAAAAGUAGUGCUGGAGUAGAGGCUGAGAAUUUUAAAAACCAGCUUCAGACAUUACUUAACAGGGCUGGACAUGAAGUGCCAACUUACAAAACAAGGCAACUGAAGAACAACCAAUUCCGUUCCACCAUCAAUUUUUAAUGGCUUGGAUUUUGUUGGCCAGCCUUGCAGCAACAAGAAACAAUCAGAAAAAUCUGCUGCCGCUGAGGCUCUUCUAUGGCUGAAAGGUGAUAUGCAUUCUUCACACGAUGUUGCCAGCCAUAUGUCUGUGCUUUUGAAAAAGAGCAACAAGAAAGAUAAGAAAACUUCAUCAAAACGUGCUAAAUGGAGCUGACUCGAAUCUACAAGAUCUCUAUCUUGGAUAGAUCAUUUUUACGUGGUUUUUCACCGAGGAAGAACAUGUUCAUUUUCAAGGCACUGGUUUCAUCUUUCCAGUCACAAUUUCAACAGUAAGUGUAUGGAACUACUAAUGGUGAGGGAACUAGAAUCUAAAUGUUACAAAUCUGAGCCCUUGUGCCCUUUUUUAAGAUCUGGGAGUCCUUGUUCUUGUAAAGGGUGAUUCCAUCCAGAAUCUACCGAGUUUCAAAGCAAAACGGAAAACAGCUCUAGAUUGGGAGGCUGAGCAGUUACCGUUCAGACUAAGGACACUAAUCUAUGCUGAUCAUGCAUUCUUCCAAUUCAUUGUUUUUGAUGUGGAAGUUGGAAGGCAUAUGUAUCCACUAUUCUUUAAAGUAUAUUGUAGCUGCUUAGGAAACAGGUUUACAUUAAUCAAGUUAGCCGAUCAUCCAUUUGAAUGAAAUGUAGUAUAUGUAUUAAGGGACUUGGUACACCUACAAACAAUCUUUUACUUAUAAUACAUUUCGUCUUUAUA